AGCGAACGCUGGCGGCAGGCCUAACACAUGCAAGUCGAACGAAGUCCUCGGACUUAGUGGCGGACGGGUGAGUAACACGUGGGAACGUACCUUUUGGUUCGGAACAACUCAGGGAAACUUGAGCUAAUACCGGAUGAGCCCUUAGGGGGAAAGAUUUAUCGCCGAAAGAGCGGCCCGCGUUAGAUUAGCUAGUUGGUGAGGUAAAGGCUCACCAAGGCUACGAUCUAUAGCUGGUCUGAGAGGAAGAUCAGCCACCCUGGGACUGAGACACGGCCCAGACUCCUACGGGAGGCAGCAGUGGGGAAUCUUGCGUAAUGGGCGAAAGCCUGACGCAGCCAUGCCGCGUGAAUGAUGAAGGUCUUAGGAUUGUAAAAUUCUUUUACCAGGGACGAUAAUGACGGUACCUGGAGAAAAAGCCCCGGCUAACUUCGUGCCAGCCGCCGCUGUAAUAC
rnacentral:rRNA from 1 species